UGAAUCUUGGUCAUAUAAGCUUCAAGCAGAAGCUGUAGCCUGUGUGAUGGAUGGUUCUUAUUUUGCUGUUCUCACCCUUCUUCCUCGAUCAUCCAAGCACACUGAGUUGACUGAAACUAAGAUAGAUGGAAGAGAUGGGGCGAUUUUAUUAUUCAAUGUGGGAGAACCUAUUCCUGUCACUACCUGGUUUGUAAAGAAGGCCAAGGGAGGGGGACUUGCCUUUAUUCAUGUAAAUUCAGCUUCCUUCAAAGGGAAUGUUUCGGAUGGAAAACUGCCUC